GACACAUACACUAGGGGACACUGAGACACUAGGACACAGACACUGGGAGACCUGGGAACACUGAGACACUUGGGGACACUGGAAAAUAUGGGGACACUGAGACACUAGGGGACACAGACACUUGGGGACAUAUGGGGACACAGACAAUAGGGGACACAUGGGGACACAGACACUAGGGGACACUGAGACACUAGGACACAUGGGGACACAGACACUGGGAGACCUGGGGGCACAGACACUUGGGGACACUGGAAAACAUGGAGACACUGAGACACUAGGGGACACUGGGACACAUGGGGAUGCUGAGACACAUGGGGACGCUGUGAG